GACGAACGCUGGCGGCGUGCCUAAUACAUGCAAGUUGAGCGCUGAAGGUUGGUACUUGUACCAACUGGAUGAGCAGCGAACGGGUGAGUAACGCGUGGGGAAUCUGCCUUUGAGCGGGGGACAACAUUUGGAAACGAAUGCUAAUACCGCAUAAAAACUUUAAACACAAGUUUUAAGUUUGAAAGAUGCAAUUGCAUCACUCAAAGAUGAUCCCGCGUUGUAUUAGCUAGUUGGUGAGGUAAAGGCUCACCAAGGCGAUGAUACAUAGCCGACCUGAGAGGGUGAUCGGCCACAUUGGGACUGAGACACGGCCCAAACUCCUACGGGAGGCAGCAGUACGGAAUCUUCGGCAAUGGACGAAAGUCUGACCGAGCAACGCCGCGUGAGUGAAGAAGGUUUUCGGAUCGUAAAACUCUGUUGGUAGAGAAGAACGUUGGUGAGAGUGGAAAGCUCAUCAAGUGACGGUAACUACCCAGAAAGGGACGGCUAACUACGUG
rnacentral:rRNA from 1 species